AGCAAAUGCACGCAGACCUCCAGUGGCCCUCCUGAGUACUACACGGCACUGUCGCUGCCACCCCAGGGACGGAGACCUCGCCUGGGGCAUCUCUUCUUGCUCUGCUACUGCAAGUUUUAUAAGGGAAAAACCAAGAGCAGUGCUGAACACAAAAGGGAAGAUCAGAGGAUUUGAGUUCAAGGCUUAGUGUCUAAUUUCAGCAAGUCCAAGUGAGGAUUGAAGCCUGUUGUUUUAGCACAUCAAUGCGCUGGUACAAUCAACCCAGAUGACAUCUGUUAUUCCUGCAAUGCCAGCUAUGUAUCAUCUUGACUCAUUUUCUAUUAGAUCCAGCUGUUCUGGCUGAUAUGCUAUUGACCUUUUCAGCUGGUUCAGCACUUGGCUACCAGGAGGUCAUUGGAUGCCACUUUGAAACAGGCUCAAUGCUUAACAGUUAUUCUGCUGGGAUGAGGAGGAAUUUCAUCCACCUGUUUUGAGCAUGAGCACCUUGAAAAGUCAGCUGGCCCCUGCCUCCAACAUGAGGUCACUGCCAUAU